UUGCUGAGUGGCAACAACGGUCAAAGCCAAAUGAAAAUCUCCUAGCUAUUGAAGUAAGGCAGGUAUCCUGAUAUGUAACAAAUUUUCACGCACUUGAAUCAUCUUCUGUAUUACUCAUUUACAUGUCCCCGAGGUUGCACCAUAGCUAUAGAGCAGUCUUUCUUUCUCUCUUUCAUUUCAUUUUAUUUUUCGUUCAUUUUUUUC
rnacentral:misc_RNA from 1 species